rnacentral:tRNA from 1 species
GCCUUGUUAGCUCAGUGGCAGAGCAGCGGUCUCGUAAAUCGCAGACGGAAGUUCGAUCCCUCCACGAGGCACCA